AGAGUUUGAUCUUGGCUCAGGACGAACGCUGGCGGCAUGCCUAAUACAUGCAAGUCGAACGAUGAUAUCACUGCUUGCAGUGAUUGAUUAGUGGCGAACGGGUGAGUAACACGUGAGGAACUUGCCCAUGAGCGGGGGACAACAUUCGGAAACGGAUGCUAAUACCCCAUAGGUGGAUUGGUCGCAUGACGAAUUCAUUAAAGGUGGCUCUGCUACCACUCAUGGAUAGCCUCGCGGCGUAUUAGCUAGUUGGUAAGGUAAUGGCUUACCAAGGCAGUGAUACGUAGCCGACUUGAGAGGGUGAUCGGCCACACUGGGACUGAGACACGGCCCAGACUCCUACGGGAGGCAGCAGUAGGGAAUCUUCCACAAUGGGUGCAAACCUGAUGGAGCAAUGCCGCGUGAGUGAAGAAGGUCUUCGGAUCGUAAAGCUCUGUUGUUAGAGAAGAACACGUGCUAGGUAACUACUAGCGCCUUGACGGUAUCUAACCAGAAAGUCACGGCUAACUACGUGCCAGCAGCCGCGGUAAUACGUAGGUGACAAGCGUUGUCCGGAUUUAUUGGGCGUAAAGGGAGCGCAGGCGGUCUGUUUAGUCUAAUGUGAAAGCCCACGGCUUAACCGUGGAACGGCAUUGGAAACUGACAGACUUGAAUGUAGAAGAGGAAAAUGGAAUUCCAAGUGUAGCGGUGGAAUGCGUAGAUAUUUGGAGGAACACCAGUGGCGAAGGCGAUUUUCUGGUCUAACAUUGACGCUGAGGCUCGAAAGCGUGGGGAGCGAACAGGAUUAGAUACCCUGGUAGUCCACGCCGUAAACGAUGAGUGCUAAGUG
rnacentral:rRNA from 1 species